rnacentral:rRNA from 1 species
UACAGUGGCGUACGGGUGAGUAACACGUGGAUCAUCUACCUCGUAGUGGGGAAUACCCCCGGGAAACUGGGGAUAAUACCGCAUAAUCCUGUGAAGGGAAAGCCGAAAGGCGCUGUGAGAGGAGUCCGCGGCCGAUUAGCUAGUUGGUGAGGUAAUGGCCCACCAAGGCGAAGAUCGGUAGCCGGCCUGAGAGGGCACACGGCCACACUGGCACUGAAACACGGGCCAG